rnacentral:rRNA from 1 species
UACGUAGGGGGCGAGCGUUGCCCGGAUUCAUUGGGCGUAAAGGGCGCGCAGGCGGCUCGGAAAGUCGGGUGUGAAAACUCGGGGCUCAACCCCGGGCGUGCAUCCGAUACUGCCGGGCUUGAGGCAGGUAGGGGAGAUCGGAAUUCCUGGUGUAGCGGUGAAAUGCGCAGAUAUCAGGAGGAACACCGGUGGCGAAGGCGGAUCUCUGGGCCUGUCCUGACGCUGAGGCGCGAAAGCUAGGGGAGCGAACAGG